UAUUGUUACCGAAAAAAAGGAAACCAUUUGUAAAAAUUUAGAUUAUUUGAUUACAAUGGUGUCUGUGAUAAUGGGUUUCCAGAUAACGGAUCCCGUACAUAUGCUGGAUCCGUACUAUGCUGCCUCUUUAAAGGGGCCUAGGUGGAACACAGCAACCGUUUAAAGGGCCUGAAUGUCCUAAACAUCCCUGGAGAAAUGUGCCUAUUGAGGAGAGUUACAUUUACAUUUACCUGUGACUGUGUCCUUCUUGUGGACAAUGGCAGCUUUAGACAAAUAGAAAGGGUAAAUAAAAAGUAAAGAUAUGGUGAUCCUUUAAAUACAUAAAUGUAUGAGUUUAUAGGCAACUAUCUGUAUAACAGGUAGUAGAACUAGAAGAGGACCUAGUGAAGCUACAAACAGAUUUGCUUAUAAAGUCACUCACAGACACAGUGACAAUAGCUAUGCAGAACUGGAGAGACUUGUCAUGCAGCUGAACCAGGUAACGUGUCACUUCCAGCUCCUCUCCUGCAGAUCAGUAUAUUUAUCAUAUUUAUAACAUUAUGCAGGUUCCAUGCUCAGGAGCGGAGCCGUGCAGAGGUGGAGGUACAAAGACAGAAGCAGGAGACUGCUCAUAGCCAGUCACUUUUGCAUGAGCUGAAAUUGGAUCUAGUCAAAGUAAUAGAGCAAAGAAAUAGUGCAUUGAAAGAUGUGGACUGGCUGGAGCAGGAGGUUUGCGGCUUCCAUAAGGACACUGCAUCACAGAUCUAAGAACACAAGCUUCUGAUUUCUGAACAACAGCAGCAAAUCCAGAAACUGCAGGAGGAGCUCGGAGAAGUUGCUAUAGCUUUUGCUCAGAGGGAGCAGCCUGCGGAGGUGCUGUUCUUGUCUCACAACCUCAGCCACACGCUCACUUAACUGCUCCUGGGUGCUUUGCAGUGUUCUCUCACUGACUGGGUUUUACAGCAACUGUGCCUGUGGUCUUCCAUUUCCUGAUUACAUUCCUUACAGUUGAAACUGACAGUUUAAACCUCUGAGAUUUCUGUA